AUGAACGCUGGCGGCGUGCCUAAUACAUGCAAGUCGAGCGAACAGACGAUGAGCUUGCUCCUCUGACGUUAGCGGCGGACGGGUGAGUAACACGUGGAUAACCUACCUAUAAGACUGGGAUAACUUCGGGAAACCGGAGCUAAUACCGGAUAAUAUAUUGAACCGCAUGGUUCAAUAGUGAAAGACGGUUUUGCUGUCACUUAUAGAUGGAUCCGCGCCGCAUUAGCUAGUUGGUAAGGUAACGGCUUACCAAGGCAACGAUGCGUAGCCGACCUGAGAGGGUGAUCGGCCACACUGGAACUGAGACACGGUCCAGACUCCUACGGGAGGCAGCAGUAGGGAAGCUUCAGCAAUGGGCGAAAGCUUGACGGAGCAACGCCGCGUGAGUGAUGAAGGUCUUCGGAUCGUAAAACUCUGUUAUUAGGGAAGAACAAAUGUGUAAGUAACUAUGCAAGUCUUGACGGUACAUAAUCAGAAAGCCACGGCUAACUACGUG
rnacentral:rRNA from 1 species